rnacentral:ncRNA from 2 species
CAGACCAUUCUGAGCUGCCUCU